rnacentral:lncRNA from 10 species
CAGGGCGCCCCCUGCAGGGACGCACCCGGGGCGGGGGCCAGGCUGGGGCGAGCCCCCCUUGGUUCUGGAGAGGAAAUGACAUACAGUUUGUGAAAGCAUAAAUAUUCGUGAAAAUAAGAAAAUUCAGGAAGGAAACAAAGCUUAAGGCAGUGAUUGAUAGGUUAUUUCUUGGACACAGCUGAACGUAUACUGUGCGCCUGCAACUUUCCGGUGGUUUCGGACCGGACUUCAGUGAAGCCAGUGAAGUCGGUCGACUUGCAGAACUUCCUUUCAGAGGGGCGUACACAGCACCGCGGCCGUGUGCCUGUGAUCUCCUUCUGAGUUUGAAAAAGAAGAUCCUAGACACCGAGCCAAAUAUGUUUGCAUAAACCGGGAGACUUGUGGCUCUAUUUUGUAACAGCUUGGCGCAGGGCAGCUGGUUUGGAGAUGUCUCUGUUCUUCCCUUGGUGGGGGUGCCGGAAAAAAUGUGCUGCCUGGGCGAUCGAGGUUGGGGCAAAAGCGUUGCAAAGGAAAAGGAAGCUGGAAAGUCCAAGAUCAGGGAGUCAGCAUCUGGUGAAGGCCUUCUUGCUGUGUCAUCCCAUGGUGGAACAUGGAAGGGUAAGAGAGCACACGCAAGAGACAGCAAGAGCCAAAGGGGGCCACACUCAUUUUUCCAUUAGGAGCUCACUCCCAACUCCACGAUAAUGAACCCACUCCCACAAUCAUAGCAUUAAUCCAUUCAUGUGGGUGAAGCCCUCAUGACCUAUUCACCUCUCAAAGGUCCCACCUCUUAACACUGUUUCACUGGGGAUUAAGUUUCCAACAUAUGAACUUUGGAGAACAUAUUUAAGCCAUAGUAUCCCUCCAGACCCUCCUCUCCACCCUCCUCUGCCAUGCUUGGUGUCCUGAAAUGCUGACCUUUAUGAAUUGCAUCAUCCAGUCUACUUUGCCCUAGCUUCUGGUCAGGUUCAGCCAACGAAAGGCACUGGAGGCAGGGGCUAGAGGAGAAUGAGAUCAGAGUAUUUAUAUCCUGCUCUCUCCCUGCAAUGAAUUGGUAUUCCCAUAACAAAUUGGUAUUCCCAUAACAAAGGCUGCAACUCUUAUCAAGUGGCCGAUAUUCUAAACACACCUGCCCUUGCCCCCCUCAGAUCCAGGAGAGGUAAAGGCUUCCUGCUGUUGCUAGCUCUGUCAUGCUUCACCACCCCUUAACCUUGCCCACAUCCCUGCAAGCGGUCCUUCACUACAUGCUCCUGAGACACCCAGUUUGAGAUGCUGUUUACUUCCUGAUGGAACCUUGACCACACAGACAUCAUUGCUAUUUCCAUCCUAGCACACGUCCUCAGGCCACUGCACCUCCCCCAGGCAUCAUCAAUAAUUCUUCAUGUCCUCUUGAAGCACAUGUGACAUGGCAUUCCUGCUGCACAGCCACCUGUGGCAACAAGGAAGGGAGCAGCUCUC